UACGUAGGGUGCAAGCGUUGUCCGGAAUUAUUGGGACGUAAGAGCUCGUAGGCGGUCUGUCGCGAUUCUGCUGUGAAAACUCAGGGCUUAACCCUGAGCUUGCAGUCGGGUACGGGCAGACUUAGAGGUGGCGGUAGGGGAGAUCUGGAAUUCCGUGGUGAUGAGCGGUGAAAUGACGUAGAUAUCAGGAGGAAUGACCGGUGGCGAAGGCGUCAUCUG
rnacentral:rRNA from 1 species